rnacentral:rRNA from 1 species
CGGGAUGGACUGGCCGCUGGUGUAUCUGUUGACUUACCAAGGUCAUGGCAGAGUAGCCAAGCCGGGAAGGGAUAAACGCUGAAGGCAUCUAAGCGUGAAGCCCCCCUCAAGAUGAGAUAUCCCUACGAAAGUAGUAAGACCCCUUGAAGACGACGAGGUAGAUAGGGCAGAGGUGGAAGUGUGGUAACACAUGGAGCUGACUGUUACUAAUCGGUCGAGGGCAUAACCAU